CUGGAGGUUUUUCGCCUUCCUCUGCAGCAUGGGGCACAGAUCACAGCUGGAGGAGUCUCUGCAUCCUGGGGCCUUCACAGUAUUUGAAGGGUUCAAUAUCUGAGCUCUAGGUCAGCGAUGCUCCAUGUGAGACAAACACUGGCCAGGAGUGGCCCAGCUCAGAAGUGGGUAAUGAUUUUUUGAUAGGGGAGCCACUCCGAGAAUUUGGCAGCAGAACACCCAUGUCUGUCUCCAGCUCAGCCCCUGGCCUGCAGAACAAGGGACCGGAAAUGGCUGUGGUGGGGCUAGUGACCUUCGAGGAGGUGGCUGUGUACUUCUCUGAGGAGGAAUGGGCUCUGCUGA